CCGACGGAACAUGUGUCCGUCUAAAAAUUUUACCCAAAAUUAAAAGAAGUCAACCCUAACCAGACCCUUAGACACUUCCCUUCCCUUUGGUGGAUUUUGAAAGCUUUCACACCCACAGUCACGCUGCCGUUGCACGAGCUCCACCACCGUCACGUGCUCGUUGCCGUCGAACAUCAUCAUGUCGUUCUCUCACCCACAUCGUCGCGUCGCCGCCAUUGAGCCCUCAUCACCAUCGCACAUGUCGUUGUGCGCUCACCAGCUGUAUAAUUCUUGAUCGAACUUGUAUUAAACACCCUAUACUUGUUAGUGGUGGCUUUGGAAUUGUCCAAUGCUCAAGAGAAAGUGGAGAGAUACCAAGUGUGUUGGAAGGAGAUUGCUUUGGGCAAGGCUGAUAUGUCCAUGUGGAUGAUAUAGUUGUCAUACUGAGCCAAUGUGGAAAUUGCAAGGUGAAAAGUUGUGAUGUAGAAGAAGCAAAGAGAGAAACAAGUAUGGGUAGUCAUGAUUGGAUUAAGGUAAAUGUGUAUAGAACAAAUAUGGUGUUUAAAUACGGAAUAUAUACUGGUUGGGAUAUUCAUUAACUUGUUCUCAUAAGAUAUUCUUCAAUUCACCCUCAAAGUUGGAAAAUGAUUGGAUCACCCAUGUUUUAAAUUGACUUGUGGUUGAUCAUUUCAAAAAAUUUAUAUUACAAAAAAAUGUGACUAAUACAGUUAUUAUUUUGAAUCAACAUUGUUUGUUUGUUUGAAAGUCAA